AGUAGUUCUCGGGUGAUGCACCCUGGCAUCAGGCUCCCUCCUCUUUUGUUCCGGGUGGGUCACCUGAGAACCACA
rfam:Myotis brandtii contig187034, whole genome shotgun sequence.